rnacentral:rRNA from 1 species
GAUUAUGGCUCAGAACGAACGCUGGCGGCGCGUUUAAGCAUGCAAGUCGAGCGGCAGGGGGCUCGGUCCCCCGAGAGCGGCGGACGGGUGAGUAACACGUGGACAACCUGCCCCCCGGUUCGGGAUAGCCCAGGGAAACCUGGAUCAAUACCGGAUGCGAGGGCGGCCGCACAAGCGGCCGUCGGGAAAGGCGCUUCGGCGCCGCCGGGGGAUGGGUCCGCGUCCCAUUAGCUAGACGGUGGGGCAACGGCCCACCGUGGCGAUGAUGGGUAGCCGACCUGAGAGGGUGAUCGGCCACACUGGGACUGAGACACGGCCCAGACUCCUACGGGAGGCAGCAGUAGGGAAUCUUCCGCAAUGGACGAAAGUCUGACGGAGCAACGCCGCGUGAAGUGAUGAAGGUCUUCGGAUCGUAAAACUCUGUUGUCAGGGAAGAACAAGUCGUGUUCUAACAGGACAUGACCUUGACGGUACCUGACCAGAAAGCCCCGGCUAACUACGUGCCAGCCGCGGC